GAUUAUAUGGUCUAAAAAGGAUGUUAAAUUGCAAGUUUAGAGGUAAAGUUUUUUUUUAUAAUUU
rnacentral:tRNA from 1 species